GACGAACCGUGCGAACGUUAUUCGGAAUCAUUGGGCUUAAAGGGCGCGUAGGCGGCGGCGUAAGUUGGAAGUGAAAUCCCAUCGGCUCAACCGUGGAAUUGCUCCCAGUACUGCGUCGCUCGAGGGGGAUAGGGGUCUGCGGAACUACCGGUGGAGCGGUGAAAUGUGUUGAUAUCGGUGGGAACGCCAGUGGCGAAAGCGGCAGACUGGACCCUUCCUGACGCUGAUGCGCGAAAGCUAGGGGAGCAAACGGG
rnacentral:rRNA from 2 species